UGCCAGCAGCCGCGGUAAUACGGAGGGGGCUAGCGUUGUUCGGAUUUACUGGGCGUAAAGGGCGCGUAGGCGGUCUGUUAAGCUAGAGGUGAAAUCCCGGGGCUCAACCCCGGAACUGCUUCUGGAACUGGCAGACUAGAGAUAGGUAGAGGCAGGUGGAAUUCCAGGUGUAGAGGUGAAAUUCGUAGAUAUCUGGAGGAACACCGGUGGCGAAGGCGGCCUGCUGGACCGGUACUGACGCUGAGGUACGAAAGCGUGGGGAGCGAACAGGAUUAGAUA
rnacentral:rRNA from 1 species